GAUGAACGCUAGCUACAGGCCUAACACAUGCAAGUCGAGGGGCAGCGGGAAGGAAGCUUGCUUUCUUCGCCGGCGACCGGCGCACGGGUGCGUAACGCGUAUCGAACCUACCCUUUACUCGGGAACAGCCUUGCGAAAGCAAGAUUAAUGCCCGAUGUUCCGCGUUUGCCGCAUGGCAAAUUCGGCAAAGAUUUAUUGGUAAAGGAUGGCGAUGCGUCCCAUUAGUUAGUUGGCGGGGUAACGGCCCACCAAGACGACGAUGGGUAGGGGUCCUGAGAGGAAGGUCCCCCACAUUGGAACUGAGACACGGUCCAAACUCCUACGGGAGGCAGCAGUGAGGAAUAUUGGUCAAUGGGCGGAAGCCUGAACCAGCCAAGUAGCGUGCAGGAAGACGGCCCUAUGGGUUGUAAACUGCUUUCAGUCGGGAAUAAUUCGUCGGUUGUGACCGACGUUGCAGGUACCGUCAUAAGAAGGACCGGCUAAUUCCGUGCCAGCAGCCGCGGUAAUACGGAAGGUCCGGGCGUUAUCCGGAUUUAUUGGGUUUAAAGGGAGCGUAGGUGGACUGUCAAGUCAGUUGUGAAAUCCGCGGGCUCAACCUGCGGCCUGCAGUUGAAACUGGCGGUCUUGAGUCCGUUCAGGGAUGCUGGAAUUCAUGGUGUAGCGGUGAAAUGCUCAGAUAUCAUGAAGAACUCCAAUCGCGAAGGCAGGCAUCCGGGCCGGAACUGACACUGAGGCUCGAAAGUGCGGGUAUCAAACAGG
rnacentral:rRNA from 1 species